UGCACUAGUCUUGCCUGUCCUGAUCUUCCUGGGGUGCGCGCACUCCUUCAGCGUGUCCUGGUUUUAAAAGAAUAACCCAUCCGGAUGGGCCUGAACUCAAGAAGCAACUAUUCUAAGCUAGACUGAGCCUUGGCGUCUCCGCAGCCUGGGAAGCUCGGAUAGAAGCUCUUUGAAGAAGGCGGCUGCAAGCCAGUCUCCGAACCCCAGGGGACUUUUGGGCAAGGGAGCCGGUGGAAGCAGAAGGAAGAAGAUGCGCUGAGAGUCCUCACAACUGCGUCUCCGGAGGCAGAACGAAGUGGGGACUUCAGACAAUCAAGCGUCAUCCUUGCUCCCCGUCCCCACACCGAACCCUGCGAUUAUGGCAAGAGAAAACUGGUUUGAGCUUGAGAAAAUUU
rnacentral:lncRNA from 1 species